rnacentral:rRNA from 1 species
GAUGAACGCUAGCGGCAGGCCUAAUACAUGCAAGUCGAACGGUAACAUGAGUAGCAAUACUUGAUGACGAGUGGCGCACGGGUGCGUAACGCGUAUGCAAUCUACCUUUAACCGGUGAAUAGCCCGAAGUAAUUCGGAUUAAUACACCAUAGUAUAAUGAGCUGGCAUCAGUUUAUCAUUAAAGCUCCGGCAGGUAAAGAUGAGCAUGCGUGACAUUAGCUAGUUGAUGAGGUAACGGCUCACCAAGGCGACGAUGUCUAGGGGAUCUGAGAGGAUUAACCCCCACACUUGUACUGAGACACGGACCAGACUCCUACGGGAGGCAGCAGUAAGGAAUAUUGGACAAUGGUGGCAACACUGAUCCAGCCAUGCCGCGUGCAGGAUGACUGCCCUAUGGGUUGUAAACUGCUUUUGUACGGGAAAAAACCUCUUUACGUGUAAAGAGCUGAUUGUACUGUAAGAAUAAGGAUCGGCUAACUCCGUGCCAGCCGCCGCAGUAA